ACAUAGCACCGAUAGGAACGGCAUCCUUUUUUGCUUUUUGGGGAAAUCUUGUUUGGAUGAUAAAUCGUGUGAAAGGAAAAAAGAUAUAGUGGAUAGCGGGUUGGACU
rnacentral:sRNA from 1 species